rnacentral:rRNA from 1 species
AUUGAACGCUGGCGGCAGGCCUAACACAUGCAAGUCGAGCGGAUGAAGGGAGCUUGCUCCUGGAUUCAGCGGCGGACGGGUGAGUAAUGCCUAGGAAUCUGCCUGGUAGUGGGGGAUAACGUCCGGAAACGGGCGCUAAUACCGCAUACGUCCUGAGGGAGAAAGUGGGGGAUCUUCGGACCGCACGCUAUCAUAUGAGCCUAGGUCGGUUUAGCUAGUUGGUGGGGUAAAGGCCUACCAAGGCGACGAUCCGUAACUGGUCUGAGAGGAUGAUCAGUCACACUGGAACUGAGACACGGUCCAGACUCCUACGGGAGGCAGCAGUGGGGAAUAUUGGACAAUGGGCGAAAGCCUGAUACAGCAAUGCCGCGUGUGUGAAGAAGGUCUUCGGAUUGUAAAGCACUUUAAGUUGGGAGGAAGGGAAGUAAGUUAAUACCUUGCUGUUUUGACGUUACCAACAGAAUAAGCACCGGCUAACUUCGUG